GAGGCGACUCUUCCAGGGGCCCGGUGGCCUUCCCGGCCCGACAGACCCAACUCCGGAGCGGGCUCUUCGGGAGGAAUUGACAACAUGGCUUCCCCACCGCACCAGCAGCUGCUGCAUCACCACAGCACCGAGGUGAGCUGCGACUCCAGCGGGGACAGCAACAGCGUGGCGGUGAAAAUCAACCCCCGGCAACACCAGGGCUACCCCUUGCCCAAGGACUGCAAGUACAGCAUCUCCUCCAGCUGCAGCUCGGCCGAGUGGGGGGGGACCCGCCGAGCCGGCGGAAGGGGCAGCGCUGGCUCCAUCCUCCGCCGCCAGAAGAAGCUGCCGCAGCUCUUCGAGAGGGCCUCUUCCAAGUGGUGGAACCCCAAGUUUGACUCCAACAACCUGGAGGAGGCUUGCAUGGAGAGAUGCUUCCCGCAGACCCAGCGCAGGUUUCGCUAUGCCCUCUUCUACAUCAGCGUGGCCUGCUUUCUCUGGGGCACCUACUUUGGCAUAAACAUGAGAGAGAAGAAGAUGUUUUUCAUGGUGCCGGCUCUGUGCUUCCUUUUGGUAUGUAUAGGGUUUUUUGUGUUCACUUUCACCAAGACUUAUGCCCGCCAUUACAUAUGGACUUCGCUGAUCCUCACCCUCCUGGUUUUUGCUUUGACUCUGGCUUCGCAGUUCCAGGCUCUGAAACGUAUCUCAGGAAGUGGUGACAUGUCCAAUCAGACUUCCCGGGCAGAUCCCACAGAUAUUUGUCUUUCUCAAGUGGGCAGUUUUUCUAUGUGUAUCGAAGUGCUUCUGUUGCUGUAUGCGGUGAUGCGCAUCCCCCUGUAUUUAAGCUUUUUUCUGGGGCUGUCCUACUCGGUCCUCUUUGAGACCUUUGGGUAUCGCUUCCGUGAUGAGACCUGUUUUACACCUGUUGGAGCUGGGGCAGUUUACUGGGAGAUGCUGAUGAAAGCCUUCCUGCACAUCUGCAUCCAUGCCAUCGGGGUUCACUUAUUUAUCAUGUCCGAAGUCAGAUCCAGAAGCACGUUCCUGAAAGUGGGGCAGUCCAUCAUGCAUGGCAAAGACUUGGAAGUGGAAAAAGCUCUGAAAGAGAGGAUGAUUCAUUCUGUUAUGCCAAGAAUAAUAGCCGAUGACUUAAUGAAGCAGGGGGAUGAUGAGAGUGAAAACUCUGUGAAAGGCUAUUGCACCUCCAGCCCUAAAAGCAGGAAGAAGAAGCCCUCCAUACAGAAAAACCCUAUAAUAUUCCGUCCUUUUAAAAUGUGGCAGAUAGAGCAAGUGAGCAUUUUGUUUGCAGAUAUCGUUGGCUUCACGAAAAUGAGUGCCAAUAAAUCUGCCCACGCUCUGGUGGGUCUCCUGAACGACCUCUUUGGACGUUUUGACCGUCUGUGUGAGGACACUAAAUGUGAGAAGAUAAGUACUUUGGGAGACUGUUACUACUGUGUAGCUGGUUGCCCAGAGCCCCGGGCAGAUCAUGCUUACUGCUGCAUCGAGAUGGGUUUAGGAAUGAUUAAAGCCAUUGAGCAGUUCUGCCAGGAGAAAAAUGAAAUGGUCAACAUGAGAGUCGGUGUUCAUACCGGGACAGUCCUAUGUGGCAUUUUGGGAACAAGGAGAUUCAAGUUUGAUGUGUGGUCCAAUGAUGUCAAUUUGGCCAACCUGAUGGAGCAGCUUGGGGUGGCUGGAAAAGUCCAUAUUUCGGAAGCUACUGAGAAAUACUUGGAUGAUCGUUACGAAAUGGAGGAUGGGAACGUGAUGGAGCGAGUUGGGCAGAGCGCAGCCGAGCAGUUAAGAGGUUUGAAGACCUAUCUGAUCUCUGGUCACAAGGUGAAGGAGCCCCACUGCAGCUGUUCCCAAGCAUUGCAGCCUGGCUUGGAGCCCACAGAUGGAGCUGGGAUGCAGGGAGCCUCGUCAGCCGAGAGCACCAGUGACAUGACAAAGAGCCUCAAACAUGUGGAAAAAUCUAAGCCUUGCCCUUCGUGUAACAUCACCCUUGCUCCCCACUGUGAUGUCACCACAGAUGAAGGAGCUAUCCAAAAUGGUUGUCAGGAUGAACAUAAAAACAUUGCAAAGGCUUCAGGAGGACACAGCCCAAAGACUCAGAAUGGACUUUUGAGUGCUCCACAGGAACAAACACUCAGAAAUAGUCAAACCUCACUGUAUGAAAUGUUGCAAGAGAAAGGAAGAUGGGGCGGAGUGAGUCUGGAUCAGUCAGCUCUCCUUCCUCUGAGGUUCAAAAACAUCAGAGAAAAGACAGAUGCUCACUUUGUGGAGGUCAUUAAAGAAGACAGCCUCAUGAAAGACUACUUCUUUAAACCUCCUAUCAACAAGCUGAGCCUGAACUUCUUGGAUCAGAAUUUGGAGAAGGCCUACAGAUCAAGCUAUCAGGAAGAGGUUAUAAGGAAUGCUCCAGCAAAGACAUUCGGCAGUGCUACCUUCAGCUGGCUCCUGGACGUCUUCCUCUCCACCACAGUCUUCCUUAUUCUCUCCAUCACCUGUUUCAUGAGACAUGGGGUGGUUGCAUCCCCUCCACCAACUGCAGCAGUCGUGGUGUUCAUCAUUGCCAUCCUGCCAACAGUGCUGUCCAUUUUCAUCUCAAUUAGAAUGACAUUCUUUCUGGAGGAGGUGAUGACUUGCACCAAGCGUCUCCUGGAGGUGACGUCUGGCUGGCUGCCUCGACAUUUUUUUGGUGCAAUCCUGGUUACUCUCCCAGCUUUUGCAGUUUUUUCACACUUCACCUCUGAUUUUGAAACAAAUAUACAUUACACCAUGUUCUUGUGCUCUGCCAUGCUGAUCUCCAUUGUGCAGUACUGUAACUUCUGCCAGCUUAGCUCCUGGAUGAAAUCUCUGUUGGCAACUGUGGUAGGAGCAGUGCUGCUCUACCUUCUGUUCUACGUCUCCUUCUGUCCAGCCAGCUCUGUGGGAACUUUUAAUCCAGAGUUGGCACAGAACUUCAGCUCCAGAAAGAGUCCAUGCAACAGCUCGGUGCCAAGUGACACGAAGAGGCCAGCAGACCUGAUCGGUGAGGAGCUGAUUUUGGUUUCCUUCCUUCUGCUCCUCCUGGUCUGGUUUGUGAAUCGAGAGUUUGAGGUCAGUUACCGUCUCCAGUACCACGGGGACGUGGAGGCUCAUCUUCAUCGCGCCAAAAUCCAGAGCAUGAGGGAUCAAGCUGACUGGUUGCUGAGGAAUAUUAUCCCAUACCACGUGGCUGAGCAGCUGAAGGUUUCCCAGAGCUAUUCCAAAAACCAUGACAGCAGCGGAGUCAUCUUUGCAAGUAUUGUCAACUUCAGUGACUUCUAUGAGGAGAACUAUGAGGGAGGCAAGGAGUGUUACCGAGUCCUGAACGAAUUAAUUGGGGAUUUUGAUGAGCUGCUGAGCAAACCUCAUUACAGCAGCAUUGAGAAGAUAAAAACCAUUGGGGCGACCUACAUGGCAGCUUCAGGACUGAACACCUCACAGUGCCAGGACGACAACCAUCCCCACGGCCACCUGCAGACCCUUUUUGAAUUUGCCAAAGAAAUGAUGCGAGUGAUGGAUGACUUCAACAAGAACAUGCUGUGGUUUAACUUUAAGCUUAGGAUUGGCUUUAACCACGGCCCCCUCACUGCCGGGGUCAUUGGCACCACCAAGUUGUUGUAUGACAUCUGGGGGGACACUGUGAACAUUGCUAGCAGGAUGGACACCACCGGCGUGGAGUGUCGGAUACAGGUGAGUGAGGAGAGCUACCGUGUCCUGAGCAGGAUGGGGUACAACUUUGACUACAGGGGGACAGUCAACGUGAAGGGGAAAGGUCAGAUGAAGACCUACCUUUACCCAAAAUGCACGAACAAGGGGAUCGUGCCCCAUCACCAGUUGUCUAUAUCCCCAGACAUUCGGGUUCAAGUGGAUGGCAGCAUUGGGCGGUCUCCGACGGAUGAGAUUGCCAACCUGGUGCCUUCUGUACAGAAUUCUGAUCAGGCAGCCCAUGGCACAGAUAGCUCAGAACCCAAGGGCACCCUUCGUUCCACCAAGAAGUCCAAGAAAGGCGCAGUCAAAGCACAGAAGAGGAGCAAAGCCUCGGAGAAGACUGGCAGUGAGGAGGCAGGAACUGAGGAGGUCAAUGAACUGACAAAGCUCAAUGUCUCUAAGAGCUUAUGAUGCACUGUCAGAGUUGCAUGAAGUGCUCUGUCCACAGAAACACACAGACAUUUGCAAUGGACAGUUGUUGUUUGUUGUUUUUUUUUUCAAGAGAGACCUUCUGGACACCUGGGCUGUAUGUUUGUUUUCAUUUCAGCACCUGGUGCUGUGUGGAUCACAGCUCUUCAGGGCUUGUUUUCAUCCAUCUUUCUCCUCCAUGCCCCAAAUCACAUCCCAAGCUCCCCAGCUCCCCGUGCAACCAUCUUACAGCUGAGUAGAGGAUAUUAAGUGCCUUCAGAUAUACUCCAUUGGACUCCCUGUCAAGGUACAGAGGCCCCAAGUGAAAUCAUAGCUUUGGGUAUUUAUCUAAUUUUAAAGAAAAGAAAAGCUGUGGUUAUAUCAUUUUUAUUGUUGUUUCUCACAAAACACUUUUUUUGGCUAAUGCAACUCCUUGGGUUUUUUUAUAUCUCUGAACAAUGUUUUACUGUUAUAAGACCUUUUGUAUGUAAACACAGAGACAAAACGUGCAUGUAUCUAUCAUGAGACUGACAUCAAGUGCCAGUAACAUACCACGAAAGAAUGUCUUGGGGGUGACACAAGUUGACUUUGUUUUGGGCUGGAGGAGGAGAUCUGCAGUGGCUCAACGUUUAGUUAGAGUAGGUUGAACAACUGCUGUAGUUUUUAUUCUCCUUUUUACCAAGGCUUUCUUCAACUUUAACGUGCCAUUGUGUGCUUUGGAUACACUUCUUUUCCAUAUGGCCAAUGAGUUAUUGAUAUGUGGGAAUGGAAGGAUUUGGAGACCACCAAGCUCUCAGGACAGGUUUCCAGAAGCAGAUGAGUGACCACCAGAGUGUUACAAAUUCAGGUCUCACCAGUCUGAAGCAGUUUGAUGUUACUCUGGAUGCUAGCUGAUUCCUGAAGUCUCUUGGAGGACUCUCCCCAGCAUUUCUCUCUCACUGAUCAGCUCUGGGCAGUGGCAGUUUGGCUUCUUCCUGAUGUGAGACACUGCACAGUAGCCAAAGCUCCACCAGCAGGAGCCCUGUUGCCAGGGAGAGGUUUGCACCCUGGGAUCACACCUGAAGGGGCAAGGGGCUGGAGCAGGAUCCUGGACCCCCAGCUCCUUCCUUCUCAGCGUUCCAGCCACGCACUGCAGAACAUAAAAGCUUCAUCCUCCAGCCUGGAAAGUCAGUAACACUCCUGUGCUGUUGUGGUGUGGUCCUGGGGGAACAUUGUUGCUUUUCUGGUAACAUUAGAAUACCAAAAAAAAAAAUAAAUAAAUGCCAGGGCUGCUUCUUUUUGGCUUUUUUUGGCACUAAGGAAAUAAAGUGACUGAGAGCUCUGGAAUCAAGGGCUGUUGUCUGCUCAGGGAGCUGCUAGGACAUUAUUCUGCCUUACCUCUGCAGCUGGGCAGAGAGUAGUGAAAAGCUGAGUGAGUGGUGGUCCCUCUGUGUGCCCAUUGCCCCCAGGACAGCAGCUGGGCCUGCAGGGCUGUUCUCCAGGUUUUCCAUCUCCUCUCUCAGGGUGUGGUGGGAUAGUGGGAUCUUCCCAGGCACGAGGAGGUUCCUGUGUGCUGCUGUAUCCCAGUGGGAGCUGAACCUUCACACCUUCCUUUUACAUCUUUGAAAAGAUAUCCCAAAUACUCACCAAAAUUCCUCUGGAGGCAUUUUUAGAGGCAUUGGGUGGGUCUGUGUUCCUCUGCAGCCCUGACACGUGUGUGCCUGCAGGAGGCCAUGAGCCAAGUUCAUUUCUCCACAGUAUCUUUUGUCCUUGUGGUCCCAGCACAAUUCCAGCACGGUGUAGAAGGUGAGGAGUUGACCAGGUACCUGGAAGUGUGUUCUGCAGGAAUAGUCCAUGUUGGGCUUCCUGCUGUUAGGGUGUUUUAAUGGGUUUAAUUGAAAAAUUAUCCAUAGGAGGGAGGGGAUGGGAGCUGAGUAUUUCCCAGCCCCAUGUAAACUUCUGCCACAGUUGACUUGUGGGAGCUGCUCUGCAGCCUGAUGAAGAAUGUGCUGAAUAUUUUCUGCAGAGUUGUCUUAAUCUACUAACACAUAAAAAUGCUUUUUUCUCUCCCAGCUACUUCUGUGAGACAGAUUUCUCAUUCAAAACCAAGCAAAUGGCAUUCCCUUUGAUUACUUCUGGCAUUUAUGAUUUCGAGAAGAACAGAUUUAUUUCCCUGUUAUUUCCCAGGAUUUGGGGCUGUUUCCCGUUGCUGGAGGUAACACAAGUGGUGUGAGUAGGGUGGGGAUGGUGCCACUGCCUGACUGUGCCUCCUGCUGUGUCCUGGAACAAAGCACAGGAGGAUUUUUAGGAUGAUAAGAUGAGGAGGGGUGAGGAUGAACUCCCCAAGGGCUUUGCAAGCAAAGAAGUAUUUGGAUUUGGGCUAAAAAGGCCUUUGGAUACUCUUACUUCAGGGCUAAAACACAGAUAAGAGGCACUCAGAGCAAAAGGAGCUAUAAACCAAACACUGUACCCAUUCCAGCUUUUAGUUAAAGAGCUUGUUCUUGAUGAAAGUGGUUUUUAGGGUAUCUAGCAUUUUAAAAGUGUUCACGCUGACCUGUUUCUAAAACUUGCAUCCUGAAUACUGGACAAAAAUAAAAUGUUGCAAGGGAGCAAUGACUAACUCCAUGGCUUUAUUUUGCAACAUCACAAGAGGCUGAGAGUGCCUGAGGGUGGAUACAAUGCCACCAUUUCACUGUGCAGCUUGCAGUUGGGUUGGUUUUUUUGACCAUAUUUAAAGAUUCUGUCUGUUUGCUCCCUUCUUCCCUGCUGUGGUCUCGUUUUCAUCACACCCAAAACUUGGAUUACCCUGAGUUUUAGCAAGUGUGCAAAAGCAGAAGAGGGUAAGACACAAACCCCAGUGAUUGGGAUUCACUGGAGCAGCUUUCCUUUCAGUCUUGUUUUACUUAAAUGUCACUAACCUGCUCAAAAAGCAGUAAUUAUUUCUUGAUGUGACUUUUCCAAUUGCUGAAGAGGUUGCAGGGGUGGUUUGGCUCUAGAUACAGAUUGAUUUUCAUGUGGCAAGAGCACCAGUGGAGGUAGAGAUGCCAGGGUACCCUGGUGCUGUGGUGCUUCCAUCUUGCUGCCCAGGCAGCUGCAAAAACCCAGGUGGAGUCUUGGAGUGAUCCUGAGACUUGGCUGCCACUGUAGUGAGCAUCAGUUUGGGCAGCAAAGUAAUUUCUUGCAGUGUUUUUCCUUUUGAGUUCUCUGCACAGGGCUGUGUCAGUCCUUGUUUGGGUUUCCAGAGGGACAACAUUGAAGGAGAAAAGCCCAAAUCACUUCUUGCUGUUGCUGAGAAGAUCCUGCCCUGCCAGCAGCAGCAGGAUUCUGCAGACUCCUGCAAAAAGGUUGGAAAUUGUAACCAUCACACACGAAUUCCUUAAGAUGUUCUAGUUGUCCAGGUUGUCAUUUGAGUUCUCUGAUGGUCUCAUGAUUUUCAGCCAAGGGCUGUGAACCUGUGGGCUGGUUUUUGUGCCAAAAUAAACCCAAAAUGCAAAGGAAACGGGGGCGGUGGCAGGACCUGGGAAAUGCAGCAGGAGCCGUGUGGAACACAGACCAGGUUUGGUGUGGGAGAUGCUCUGUGUGGUAGCAUCAGCUUCCAGCUUUAGAAAUGGUGAGAAAAGGAGGAGGUGAGCACAAACUGAGUGUUGGGUUGAAGGCUGGUCUCUAAUUUCCAGGUGUGAGGCCUUUGGCUGCUGUAGGGGAAGUUUUUUUGGGUGUGGAGCAGAGGCUUCCCAGCAGGAUGUUUUCUGUGGUGGGAUCAGGGAGCCUUAAAAUGGGCUUAUUUUAUAAAGAUCUGCUUUACCCCACCUUCUGAACUCUGUCCAGAGUGAUGAGAUGGAGUUUUGGCAGUGAAAGUUGGACACUGGCAGCUCAUUGUCUUGGUCUCAUUAGAGCUCAUUUGAAAUUAGCAUCAGGCUGUGAAGAGGUUCAAGUAGGAAAUAAAAUGGGGGUGAAAUAGAUGUUGUCUUAACAGCUCAGUUCAAGUGGUGCUGUGGGGAGGAGUUUUGAAGUGCUUUCUAGACACUCCAAAAAGCUCUGGUAGAAAACUCAUGCAAGUUUUCUGCAUAAAACCUUUUUCAAGUCUUUAUCAGGUGAGUGAAACUUCUGUCUUCAGCCCAGAUCAGUGCCUGGGCUGCACGACACAUUUUUGCUCCUUACCUUCAAGAGUCAACACUGGCUUUUGGAGAAGGGUGAUUAUUUAUGAAGAAAAUAGAUUGCUACAAGAUAUUUAAAGCUUUUUGGUUUUUUUCCCUGGUACUUAAGCAUUUGCUCACCUCCCAGGAGCAGGAGGCAGGUGCCAGUGUUUCCACACACGCUGCUCCCCAUGCAGUGGGUUCCACACUGGUUUGAGCAGCUGGGUCUCCAUGUUGGCAAUUGGUGUUGAGGAAAUGUUGUUGUGUGUUACAACCUCUGGAAAGGCCCUGAAGCUGCUGGGUUGGCUUUUCUGCGUCUCAGCCUUUACGUGGUUGUUUCUGUUCUCUCCCUCUUCUCUGGCUCAGCUGCAACAAUGUGGAUUUUAAGCUGCAGAAGUUGCAGCGUUGGCUGAAUCUGAAGAGCUGCAGAAGGUCGUGGCUGGGAACACUUACUGAAAGUUGAAGUUUUGGCUCUUAACUGGUGCUGCUCCAACCAAUUUGUCAUCUGGUGAUAAGCAGCAAAGUCAGAGCUGAGCAUCCCAGUGGGUGCCCACUGCUCACAUGUCCCUGAUUUGAGCAUUGAUCCUCAACCCUCCUUUGGAUGAGUCAAAGCAAAGUGACUUUCUCAAGUUUUGCCUUCUUUUCUCCCUAAGUCACUCGUGUCUUCACUUGUUUCUAUCUUAAUGCAUUGGCUCAAUAUUCAUUUGCAAUUGAAAGACGGUUUGUAUCGAUUCAUUGAUGAAAGAUCUAGGCUCAGGGCAGGAAAAAUGCAGAGUUUGGUACAUCUGCAGGUCUGCCCAGAGGGAAAAAAAUGCCUCUUUGGUGUCUUUGAAACUUUGCUUUUAUUCGAGUGGCACCAGAGCUUGGUUUGUGAUUGUUUUCUAAUAGCAGCUGUAGAUCUCCAUCUUGCUGCUGCCCCUAGAGCUGCUGCAAAGGAGCAGGGGGCUGCUCUGCUUCUCUGCCUGGACUGGAUUGUGGCCUCUGUGCAGGUACCAGCACAAUCCCACCAGCACCAUCCAGUAGUUCAGGAGUCCCCAGCUGCCAGAGUUACCCUCUCCACAACUUAAUUUCUUCUCAUUUUCAGACACCAUCUUGAGAUACAUCCAUGUGUAUCAAUUCUGAGACUUGUUAUACCCCACUGCAAGGACAGCUUUAAACUUCCAAAGUAAUAAACUCUUUAAAGCCAAGAGCCUUAACAACUCCAAACAUCUGCUGAGAGACAAAACAGUUUCAAGUUUGGGCUGAAUAUUUGGGCAUAUUUUUUUCUGCUCAAUGUGUCUCCUGUUAGCCAAGAGGCUGGAGCAGUAUCCAAAGAUGACAAGGACCUUGGCCACUCAGUGAAUUCCCCGGAAGAGAUAAGACAGGCUCCCCCUUGUGCUCUCAGGAAAGUCACCUCACUCCCCCAGGGCUGGUGUGAUGAGUUUCUGUGUUGCCUUGCUCAGCAAAGCUCUUUCUUGCUGUGAAAAAGGGUUUGUCAUUCAGCAUAAAAACCUUUGUCUUUGCUGGCAGAGGGGCUGGAUUCCCCAGGGUCUUUUAGUCGUGCAGCAUUGAGAUGGAGAAGAAAUGUAGAUGAUGGAAGUUGGGAAGGAGCUGGAUGUGCCCCUGGAGCUGGACCCUGCCUUGCCAGCCAUGUCAGACCCCUGGGAUGGGGAGGUGUUGGGGGGGUUUUGCUCCAGGGCAGCCUCCCCCGGGUGCCUUUGUAACUACGUCUUCCCUCCCGGCCUCUUGGUUCGGUUUUGGGUGCCGGGGUGAGCAGGUUGCUCAUUGGAGCUGUGGUAGGCUGGGACUGUGUGUCCCCCCAACCUUCUGGUGACUCCCCUGCCCUGCCUGCGCCUCGGGACCUGCGGGCACUGCUUGCAGAACAGCAGCGAGAAACUUGUUUCCCAAGGGGGAGCCUCAGAUCAGGGGUGGCUUUGGUUUGCCCAGGAGCUGCAGCCUCUGCCCUCCCCCGUCCUGCUUUAAAAGCUGCCUCCACAGCCCCCCCAGGCUCCAGCCCCUCCUGGCCUUGCACAAGCACACGUGGAUCAGAAGGUGUGGAGAACACAAGCGAAACAGGAUUGAAUUCUUCAUUGAGAUACGAAUUGACAACAGUUUCCUGUUCAAAACACAAAAAGGGCAAAAAAAAAAAGGUGAAUUAAAACAUUUUAAGGUCUCCAGGUUAGCUGGAAGUUAUUUCUUCAUGAUGUUUCUGGUUUCUUUCUCUUCCCCCCACCCCAGCCAAGCCCCUGUUCCCUCUCCCCUCUUGCCGGGAGAAGCCGGCGCUGCCGGGGCUGGGCUGGGAACAGGGGCUGGGCUGGGAACUGGGGCUCCCUCACAGCAGCUCCUCCCUAAAUAAUUCUGCCUCUGCUUUCCUUGAGCAAACUGAAAUGGAAAAAAAAAGAGAGAGAAAAAAAGCUGUAUCUGUGAAAUAUUAAGCUCUAUCUGUAUAUAGAUAAAAACGCGUAUUAUCUCCGACUCGUUGCUACGCUCUGUAAUCGAUUGUAUAUUAAACUGUUCCACUGUAUGGCAGAACAUUUCAUGCUAUCUUAGAUGUAGAAAAGCUGCUGAAGUUAAUUCACAAUACACUGAUGUCAACUUCAAA